rnacentral:rRNA from 1 species
CCUACGGGAGGCAGCAGUGGGGAAUAUUGCACAAUGGGGGAAACCCUGAUGCAGCGACGCCGCGUGAGUGAAGAAGUAUUUCGGUACGUAAAGCUCUAUCAGCAGGGAAGAAAAAAAGUCCUUUGGACUUUGGACGGUACCUGACUAAGAAGCCCCGGCUAACUACGUGCCAGCAGCCGCGGUAAUACGUAGGGGGCAAGCGUUAUCCGGAUUUACGGGGUGUAAAGGGAGCGUAGACGGCAGCGCAAGUCUGGAGUGAAAUGCCGGGGCCCAACCCCGGAACGGCUUUGGAAACUGUGCAGCUGGAGUGCAGGAGAGGUAAGCGGAAUUCCUAGUGUAGCGGUGAAAUGCGUAGAUAUUAGGAGGAACACCAGUGGCGAAGGCGGCCUGCUGGGCUUUUACUGACGCUGAGGCUCGAAAGUGUGGGGAGCAAACAGGAUUAGAUACCCCAGUAGUC